UUAAAUAAGUAAAACUUGGAAUUAUUCAGGUUUCCAUUUCUUUUUAUCUUCUUAGUUAAUUCAUGCAUAUUCUUUGUCCCUCAUGUUGCCUGAAAUCAUUGAAGCGUCAACAUAGUUUGAACUGCAAAAUUCACCUGUGGUCUUAAGUUAGCCUUCGCCAUUCAGGAGACUGUGGACCUGAUCAGCCCGAAAUAACUAAGGGAUAUUAUUAACCCGAUAUGAGGGGUCAAUUACAAAGCCAAAGGCUCAUGGACUAAGGAGAGAAGCAAAGAGCCAGAUCCGUGAUUACCUGAAGGCAACACUUCAAGCUGGUCUUCUUGAUGGAAGAAACAAGCCAGUCCCUGGCUCAGAUCCGAGCCACUGUUAGUUACACUGUGCUUACCUGCAACCCAGAGCAUUCCUGCUACAGUGGAUGAAGCUGCCUGCCUAGUCCCACAGAUGCCACAGCCAGGAGGGGUAAUGAUCUCAGGAGGCUGGGGUGUCUUCAAUGUCAAUGAGUUGAGCUCAAAGCCGGAGUGGCCAGGAGCUGUGCCGGGCAGUGCAGUGUACUGGUGGAGAACGUCCCUUUCCAAAAGCAGCCCCAGCCUUCACCCUGCAGCAGGCAGCCCUGUGGCUGCGCCGAGCCACUCAGCUACUCUCCUCUCUAUGCCUCGGUUUCCUCAUCUGCAAAUCUCCCCGUGUGAAAAGUAAAUAGGUUGAACCCAGGGGCUGAGUUUCUAGUCCCGGUGCACUGCUCAGACUGCAGAGCAGCACUGCUUGUCCCUCAACCACGACGUCUUUGGUUCCGAGUGGGAACCAGGAAGCACAGACUGAGAAUGAGGUGGGAAUCACAGCAGUCACUGCUGCCCAGGCCGAGCCGACACGCGGACGCGGCAGAACCCUCCCCCUGGCCUCUCUGACCUCACAACCCUGGAAGGCUGGUGCCAUUCUGGGGUGGGGCUUUAAUGCUCUCUGUCCAGGUACAUCAGCAGCGCAUGGCCACUGUGAGAAAUGCACCAAACAGCAGAAGUAAAGAGAAGCUGCCGACUGCUCCGUGCUCAGGGCUGUCCUCAGGCACUGGGUCCCCUCCUGCGCAACCUCUCCAGCCCCAAGCCUACUUCAUUCUCAGCAUCCAUCACAGGCGACUCGAUGUGAAAGUACCCUUUCUUUUUAAAAUUUUUCUCAAGACAAGGUUUUGCU